GCGGGAGUGGCGGAAUGGCGAGACGCGCUGGGUUUAGGUUCCAGUACUAUGAUACACUGUGGGUUCAAGUCCCACCUCCCGUAC
rnacentral:tRNA from 2 species